ACCGGCGUUUGACCCUGAGGCACUCAUACCGCCGGCUGGUUUAGAAUGCUAGCCCGUAUGAGUGCCUUUAGAAUGCUAGCGGUACGAGUGUCUCAGGGCCAAACUCCGAU
ncrna:Aegilops tauschii miR6201 stem-loop (ata-MIR6201)